rnacentral:rRNA from 1 species
UACGAAGGGGGCGAGCGUUGUUCGGAAUUACUGGGCGUAAAGGGCGCGCAGGCGGCCCUUGAAGUCAGGCGUGAAAGCCCCGGGCUCAACCUGGGAAUGGCAAUGGAUACUGGCGAGCUAGAGUGUGUCAGAGGAUGGUGGAAUUCCCGGUGUAGCGGUGAAAUGCGCAGAUAUCAGGGGGAACACCAAUGGCGAAGGCAGCACUCUGGGACGUGACUGACGCUGAGACGCGAAAGCGUGGGGAGCAAACAGG